rnacentral:rRNA from 1 species
UACGAGGGGGGGGCGAGCGUUGUUCGGAAUUAUUGGGGCGUAAAGGGUGCGUAGGCGGUUCCGCAAGUCCCUGUGUGAAAAUCUUUCGGGGCUCAACUCGAAAGUCUGCACGGGGAAAACUGCGGGGGCUUGAGUGUGGGGAGAGGGUGAGUGGGAAAUUCCCCGGUGUAGCGGGUGAAAUGCGUAGAUAUCGGGAGGAAC